rnacentral:misc_RNA from 1 species
GAGCUGCAAAUUUCCUUUUUCAUUCCUCCUUUUGAACACAAACUCACCACCUCUUGCGCUUGGGUACGUAUCGUGGGUGUUUUUCCUGUUUUUUGUCACUUCCGUCAUCUGACCGCUGAACUGCACGCCUCCAUUACUCUCGCCUCCUUUCGGUGCCGCCAUUCUGCGUGCCCUUUAGGUGUGACUAUUCUCCCCCUUCUAAGUGAGCUAUCCAAGAUGUCUAUUAUGUCGUACAGCGGUGGCUCGGUGAUGGCCAUGGCGGGAAAGGAGUGCUUCGUCAUCAUCUCCGAUAAGCGCCUCGGCGAGCAGCUGAAGACUAUCUCGACGGAGGUGCCCAAGCUGCAUGUUGUUAACGACAGCAUUGUGUACGGCCUCACCGGUCUGCGCACGGACCAGCAAACUUUUGCGAACAAAGUUCAGUUUCGCACCGACAUGUACAAGCUGCGCGAGGAGCGCGACAUCACUGGCAAGGCGUUCGCAGCGAUGAUCACGUCCAUGCUGUACGAGGCGCGUUUCGGACCAUGGUUCGUGGAGCCGGUGAUCGGAAGCAUAGAUAAGUCAACGGGCGAGGUGUACCUGUGCGCCACCGACCUCAUCGGCGCCCCGUGCGAGCCACAGGACUAUGUUUGCGCCGGCACCGCUGCUGAGAGCUUGCACGGCAUGUGCGAGGCUCUCUGGCGCCCGGGCAUGUCUCCGGAGGAGGUUUUCGAGAUCGCUGCGCAGGCGAUGCUAUCUGCGUGUGAUCGCGACAGUCUCUCCGGCUACGGUGCAGUGGCUAUGAUUGUGACGAAAGACAAAAUCACGACGCGCCUCAUCAAGGGCCGAAAAGACUAGGGGCGUAGCCAGCAAGCCUCCUUGUGUACGUGCCCUCAUUUUUUCGUUUUUGUGUGCCGGUGAUGGAAAGGCAUCUAGGCCACACUAUUUUAUCCCUUCUCUUGUUCUUGUGCAUGGUUUGGCUGGAUGUGCUCCAGGUGAGCUGUUCGGGUUCGAGUUCAUCGGCGUGGGUAUGUGGUGCGCCUUUGUCUUUUUCAGCUGUGUGUGCGAUGUUAUACACAACUGCCAGAAUGCCGCGCGGUAGAGGUGGCAGGGAGAGCGGAGUAGGUCCUUCGCUGCGGAGCAGGAUGGCGCCCAUAUCGCAGUGGUGUGUUGCUUUGUCAGUUCGCCCGAAAGACGCUUGUGCGGGGUUUCCUGUGCGCUUCUCUCUCCUGCGUGUGUUUGUGUCGGUGUUCUACGCUUUACUUCGCGUGGUCGUAUGUGAAAGAGAAG